AGCGAACGCUGGCGGCAGGCCUAACACAUGCAAGUCGAACGAACCCUUCGGGGUUAGUGGCGGACGGGUGAGUAACACGUGGGAACGUGCCUUUAGGUUCGGAAUAACUCAGGGAAACUUGUGCUAAUACCGAAUGUGCCCUUCGGGGGAAAGAUUUAUCGCCUUUAGAGCGGCCCGGGUCUGAUUAGCUAGUUGGUGAGGUAAUGGCUAACCAAGGCUACGAUCAGUAGCUGGUCUGAGAGGAUGACCAGCCACAUUGGGACUGAGACACGGCCCAAACUCCUACGGGAGGCAGCAGUGGGGAAUCUUGCGCAAUGGGCGAAAGCCUGACGCAGCCAUGCCGCGUGGAUGAUGAAGGUCUUAGGAUUGUAAAAUCCUUUCACCGGUGAAGAUAAUGACUGUAGCCGGAGAAGAAGCCCCGGCUAACUUCGUGCCAGCAGCCGCCGUAAGAC
rnacentral:rRNA from 1 species